UGGGGAAUAUUGCACAAUGGGCGAAAGCCUGAUGCAGCAACGCCGCGUGAGGGACGACGGCCUUCGGGUUUGGUAAACCUCUUUUAGCAAGGAAGAAGCGAAAAGUGACGGUACUUGCAGAAAAAGCGCCGGCUAACUACGUGCCAGCAGCCGCGGUAAUACGUAGGGCGCAAGCGUUAUCCGGAAUUAUUGGGCGUAAAGAGCUCGUAGGCGGUUUGUCGCGUCUGCUGUGAAAACCCGAGGCUCAACCUCGGGCCUGCAGUGGGUACGGGCAGACUAGAGUGCGGUAGGGGAGAUUGGAACUCCUGGUGUAGCGGUGGAAUGCGCAGAUAUCAGGAAGAACACCGAUGGCGAAGGCAGAUCUCUGGGCCGUAACUGACGCUG
rnacentral:rRNA from 1 species